UGGUGGGUAGUUUGACUGGGGCGGUCUCCUCCUAAAGAGUAACGGAGGAGCACGAAGGUUGGCUAAUCCUGGUCGGACAUCAGGAGGUUAGUGCAAUGGCAUAAGCCAGCUUGACUGCGAGCGUGACGGCGCGAGCAGGUGCGAAAGCAGGUCAUAGUGAUCCGGUGGUUCUGAAUGGAAGGGCCAUCGCUCAACGGAUAAAAGGUACUCCGGGGAUAACAGGCUGAUACCGCCCAAGAGUUCAUAUCGACGGCGGUGUUUGGCACCUCGAUGUCGGCUCAUCACAUCCUGGGGCUGAAGUAGGUCCCAAGGGUAUGGCUGUUCGCCAUUUAAAGUGGUACGCGAGCUGGGUUUAGAACGUCGUGAGACAGUUCGGUCCCUAUCUGCCGUGGGCGCU
rnacentral:rRNA from 4 species